rnacentral:rRNA from 1 species
AUACUUAGGGUGCAAGCGUUAAUCGGAAUUACUGGGCGUAAAGCGCUCGUAGGCGGCUUGUAAAGUCGGAUGUGAAAUCCCCGGGCUCAACCUGGGAACUGCAUUCGAUACUGGCAAGCUAGAGUAUAGUAGAGGCAAGUGGAAUUUCGGGUGUAGCGGUGAAAUGCGUAGAUAUCCGAAGGAACAUCAGUGGCGAAGGCGACUUGCUGGACUAAUACUGACGCUGAGGAGCGAAAGCGUGGGGAGCAAACGGGAUUAGAAACCCCAGUAGUCC